UGACCACCAGCUGCCUGCGAGCAGUGCUGGAAGUGGUGGUGGCACAGACGACCAGAAAUGAGGUAGCUGAUCUGGGCACCCAGGAAUGAAGCUUCUAGCUCGGGAGGGCUCCUGCUGCUGCAGAUGACCAGAGCUACCUGGUAAAAGAGGGUUAACCCAGCGUCUGCCUCAUUAAAGAAAUGCAAACCUUCCCGUAAGUGGCCUGGACAGAAGUAUCAUGCCAUCUCUGCAUCGUUGUUGGCACAACAGAGAUACCAAAGCUAGUCUCUUGCCUUCCUCAAGAAACAAGAAAGAAGAUGUGGAAAUGAAAACAAGACAUCCAGUGAGAUGACAGCAGAAUUCUUGUCUUGCUGUGUGUUCUGUUAAGAGUUGAGUUAUGUACUAAUGAUUUUUAACAUCUCCAUUUCCCCUACCAUCAAUUAUUUGCUGAAAGCAAUCCAGAUUAGCUUGUAGAUGCCAUUGUGUGUAUAGCAUGGAAACAUGAAUUAAAUCUGUCACUCUUUUGAUCUUCAUGCCAGCCCAACAGUGUAAGCACUUAUUGUAAGUACUUAUAAAGACCCCUUCUGUGUUCUACAGGGAACAAUUUUUGCCCCUGUGUUCGUUAUCAUUCUUUUUCUAACACUUCUUUUUAAAAAAUGACAUUUAUUUGUCAGCAGGAGAAAUAAUCUUGUCAGAUGUAGUUCUUAAUUAUAGAUUCUGAGGUAUGUGUUUUAUUCUUCACUUCAGUGUACAAUCAUACAGAAAAGAAACAUGUAAUAUUAAGUAACUAUUAGCAUUGGCAUCUUUUAAAUCCUCUUCAAUUACCACUAAAGCUCUUUUUCACUUUAGUGGCUGUGGUGGCAUGCUAAAUUUUGUGGUUGUGAUUUCUGCUUAGAUGACCACUUGUUUUUAAAGAGAAAAGGUAUUUG